GACUGGCAGGCAGAUACUUCCGGAAGAAGUCGGUCCUCCCAACCUGGAAGUGAAGCAGAAGACGCACAGUAUUCUGGGAGGAGUUAGGGAGGCGGGAUUGUCGUUGCUGGCUGUUACCAGGACAACCGGAGCCGAUUGACCGUUAUCUGCGGUUUGCAGCCGUUAGCGGGAGAGGCAGAGAAGUUCAGAGGUCUUUUAGGAUGUGCUAAAGGGUCGUGAGGGCGCUCUUAAGAUUUUCCUCACAAUAGGUUAUCCAGUCGUGCCCCUCGGCCCAGCCGCUGGCCCCGGGGAUCUGAGUCGCACCCUCUUGUUUUUCUCUGAGUCUGUCUUAAGGUGAAAUGAAGUGUGGCCCAGUGGCUCCUCAUUGUCGCUUCUCUAGUUUUCUGCCUCCUUUUAGAAAAUUGAAUUGAGAAGACGGGAUGAAGUGGACACAGCAUGUGAAGACAAUUCUUUCAAGAAGUUUCGCUGUCAAGGAAAAUAGAGAAUGUGCUAAAGACCAUACAGACACAGAGCAGACAGGCCACCUUUGCUACCACAUGGAGGUUUGUCUAAUAUGGAGGCUAAAGAAGCUGAGCUGGAAGACAGAGAGACCAAAUCCUGAUGACAUUGUUUGAACCCAGAGAUCCAGACAUGCCUGAAAACUAGUUUUACCACUGUACUUAUCUGUUAAAUGAGCCAAUAAACUCUCUUUUAUACUUAACCUUGGGUUUUACCUGGAUUUUUGUCAUUUACAGCUCAAAAGUAUUCUAAUAUAGAAGUAUACAUCAUUAAAUCAA